GUUCCUUUCGGGACGUCUGAUAAAAUUGAAACGAUACAGAAAAGAUUAGUAUGGCUCUUGCACAAGAAUGACACGCACAAAUCAAGACCGGUGGUAUAUUUCC
rnacentral:snRNA from 1 species